AGGACACUGAUAUAUCUGAAUAUGUUGAAAAAAUAUACUGUCACUCUUUUCACCACCAAAGAAUAGCAGUGUGAUUUUAAUAUGAUUUGACUCUUUGCAGGCUGUCAGGCUGUCUAGUCACAGAGGAAGGCUGUGCUUCUCUGGUCUCAGCUCUGAGGUCAAACCCCUCACACCUGAGAGAGCUGGACCUGAGCUACAAUCACCCAGGAGACUCAGGAGUCAGACUGCUCUCUGCUGGACUGGAGGAUCCACACUGCAGACUGGAGAAACUCAAUGUGGAACAUGGUGGAGAGAACAGAAUGAAACCUGGGCUUAGAAAAUGUGAGUGUUGACUGCUGUGAAGAAUAUGACUAAGAAUAAGUCUUAAUUCAAGUUAAGUCAAAGUCAAAGACCACCAUCAUUACUGACUUGGUCAUAUUAAAUAUCAGCUGUAGUUCUACAGAAUCAGAAAUCAGAGACACCAACGUUUACAAAGAGUUGCUUUUUGUGUGUGUGUGUGUGU